UUGCAUAUCCCCAAAAGCGGAGGAAAAGAAACUAACAAGGAUUCCCCUAGUAACUGCGAGUGAAGCGGGAAAAGCUCAAAUUUAAAAUCUGGUGGYCUUUGGCCAUCCGAGUUGUAAUCUAGAGAAGUGUUAUCCGCGCUGGACCGUGUACAAGUCCCCUGGAAUGGGGCGUCAUAGAGGGUGAGAAUCCCGUCUUUGACACGGACUACCAGGGCUUUGUGAUGCACUCUCAAAGAGUCGAGUUGUUUGGGAAUGCAGCUCAAAAUGGGUGGUAAAUUCCAUCUAAAGCUAAAUAUUGGCGAGAGACCGAUAGCGAACAAGUACCGUGAGGGAAAGAUGAAAAGAACUUUGGAAAGAGAGUUAAACAGUACGUGAAAUUGUUGAAAGGGAAACGCUUGAAGUCAGUCGCGUCUGCCAGGGAUCAACCUUACUUUUGUGAGGCGUACUUCCUGGUUGAUGGGUCAGCAUCAGUUUUGGUCGCUGGAUAAAGGUCAGAGAAAUGUGGCACCUUCGGGUGUGUUAUAGUCUUUGAUCAGAUACAGUGGCUGGGACUGAGGAACUCAGCGCCGCAAGGCUGUCUUAGGAUGCUGGCAAAAUGGCUUUAAUCGACCCGUCUUGAAACACGGCCAAAGGGAGUCA
rnacentral:rRNA from 1 species